GUGCAGCAGUCGAGAAACUUCACAAUGUGCGAAAGCACGAUGAGGGAAUCCCAAGUGCUUGCUCGUAAGAGUAAGCUGUUUCUCUGUCUAAAACGCAGAGAGAGUAAGGGCUGGGUAAGACGGGUGCCAGCCGCCGCGGUAAUACCUGCAGCUCGAGUGGUGGCCGCUAUUAUUGGGGCCUAAAACGUCCGUAGCCGGUUUAUUAAAUGCCUGGGUAAAUCGGACCGCUUAACGGUUCGAAUUCCGGGUAGACUGAUAAACUUGAGACCGGGAGAAGCUAGAGGUACUCCUGGGGUAGAGGUGAAAUUCUGUAAUCCUAGGGGGACCACCAGUGGCGAAGGCGUCUAGCUAGAACGGGUCUGACGGUGAGGGACGAAGCCCUGGGGCGC
rnacentral:rRNA from 1 species